UACGAAGGGGGGCUAGCGUUGUUCGGAAUCACUGGGCGUAAAGCGCAUGUAGGCGGCCAUUCAAGUCGGGGGUGAAAUCCCAGGGCUCAACCCUGGAACUGCCUUCGAUACUGUCUGGCUCGAGUAUGGAAGAGGUUGGUGGAACUGCGAGUGUAGAGGUGAAAUUCGUAGAUAUUCGCAAGAACACCAGUGGCGAAGGCGGCCAACUGGUCCAUCACUGACGCUGAGGCGCGACAGCGUGGGGGAGCAAACAGG
rnacentral:rRNA from 1 species